rnacentral:lncRNA from 1 species
CUUUUUUCCUCUGGUUUCAAGACGCCAAAACAGAGAGCGAGCGCAAAGUGUCCAUGCUCAUGUCUAAUGUAUUUUUGACAAGCUGGUCUGGGAGAAGAAACUAGGACUCAGAACUGACAGGCAGAGAAGUGAGUACAUGUGGUGGUUGAAUUCCUCAAGAAAAUCUACUCAGAAGAAAUAUUCUAUUCAGGUUUGUGCUAUGUUCCUUUGAAUUGCAUGAGGUGAAUACUUAAGGAAGAAGGAAGACUGGACUUCCCUGUAAGAGAGUAUAUAGCAAGAGGAAGAACUGCCUGAUGGUUUAACACCCUGGUUUUACAAACUUAGCACUCUUACUUUCUACCUGUAUGAUGUAGAGCCUCUAAUUCUGCAGCCAUGAACAUCACUAUGG